rnacentral:rRNA from 1 species
GUCGAGCGGACAGAUGGGAGCUUGCUCCCUGAUGUUAGCGGCGGACGGGUGAGUAACACGUGGGUAACCUGCCUGUAAGACUGGGAUAACUCCGGGAAACCGGGGCUAAUACCGGAUGGUUGUUUGAACCGCAUGGUUCAAACAUAAAAGGUGGCUUCGGCUACCACUUACAGAUGGACCCGCGGCGCAUUAGCUAGUUGGUGAGGUAACGGCUCACCAAGGCAACGAUGCGUAGCCGACCUGAGAGGGUGAUCGGCCACACUGGGACUGAGACACGGCCCAGACUCCUACGGGAGGCAGCAGUAGGGAAUCUUCCGCAAUGGACGAAAGUCUGACGGAGCAACGCCGCGUGAGUGAUGAAGGUUUUCGGAUCGUAAAGCUCUGUUGUUAGGGAAGAACAAGUACCGUUCGAAUAGGGCGGUACCUUGACGGUACCUAACCAGAAAGCCACGGCUAACUACGUGCCAGCAGCCGCGGUAAUACGUAGGUGGCAAGCGUUGUCCGGAAUUAUUGGGCGUAAAGGGCUCGCAGGCGGUUUCUUAAGUCUGAUGUGAAAGCCCCCGGCUCAACCGGGGAGGGUCAUUGGAAACUGGGGAACUUGAGUGCAGAAGAGGAGAGUGGAAUUCCACGUGU